rnacentral:sRNA from 1 species
UUGACUCUAUUGAAAACUAAAGUCUUCUAGUCAUUUACAAGAGAAGGAAAGUGUAGACAGCAGCAGAGCAAGUUUCCCUUCACUCUCCCCUACCAACCAGCCUCAGCCCCAAUCUGGAGGAACCAGCUCUAGAAGUGGGAGGGAAGUUCAGUCUACACGCCCCAUUCAAUCCUCCUCUCUG